AUGGACCUUCUCGAAGUCUUCUUCGAUAAGGAAGCACUGCAUGAAGAACUCAAUGCCCAGAAGCUAGAGGUAACCAAGCAUGCAGAGGAAGACCUUGAAGUUCGGAAACUUCGUCAGGAACUGGAGAACAGCAGGACCAUAGCUCGUACCAAAGAUGUUGAGAUCCAGAAGCUCAAGAAUCAACUCCAAGACAUACUGGGACGCCACAGGAAACUCCAUCUCGACAGAGAUUAUCUGGUUGAUAUCCAACACAAGCAGAAGAAGCCCCGUGGAGAUCAGAACCAAGAUCUGGAGAAGUUAGUUUAG
rnacentral:rRNA from 1 species